CGUCAUUUGGCAAGAAAGCAGAAGAGCAGGAGGAAGAUGUUCAAGAGGAAGUUAAGUGCGUUGGGAUUUCAUAAAACUGACGACUUCGAUGUAAAUUCCUCUACAGAUUUACAAAGUCUUGUUGUAUGGUUAGAAGAUCAGAAAAUUAGGCAUUAUAAAAUU